GUGUCAGCAGCCGCGGUAAUACGGAGGAUGCAAGCGUUAUCCGGAAUUAUUGGGCGUAAAGGGUCCGCAGGUGGCUUAUCAAGUCUGCUGUUAAAGCAUGGAGCUUAACUCCAUAUCGGCAGUGGAAACUGAUGAGCUAGAGUUCGGUAGGGGUCACGGGAAUUCCCAGUGUAGCGGUGAAAUGCGUAGAUAUUGGGAAGAACACCGGCGGCGAAAGCGCGUGACUGGGCUGAGACUGACACUGAGGGACGAAAGCUAGGGGAGCGAAAGGGAUUAGAUACCCCUGUAGUCC
rnacentral:rRNA from 1 species